rnacentral:misc_RNA from 1 species
GAUGAAGAACGCAGUGAAAUGCGAUAAGUAAUGUGAAUUGCAGAAUUCAGUGAAUCAUCGAAUCUUUGAACGCACAUUGCGCCCUCUGGUAUUCCGGGGGGCAUGCCUGUUCGAGCGUCAUUACAACCCUCAAGCUCUGCUUGGUAUUGGGCUCUGCCGGUCCUGGCAGGCCUCAAAGUCAGUGGCGGUGCCAUCCGGCUCCAAGCGUAGUAAUUCUUCUCGCUUCGGAGGCCGCGGUGCGUGCUAGCCAGCAACCCCCAAUUUUUUUCAGGUUGACCUCGGAUCAGGUAGGGAUACCCGCUGAACUUAAGCAUAUCAAUAAGCGGAGGA